AUUGAACGCUGGCGGCAGGCCUAACACAUGCAAGUCGAGCGGCAGCGGGAAAGUAGCUUGCUACUUUUGCCGGCGAGCGGCGGACGGGUGAGUAAUGCCUGGGGAUCUGCCCAGUCGAGGGGGAUAACUACUGGAAACGGUAGCUAAUACCGCAUACGCCCUACGGGGGAAAGCAGGGGACCUUCGGGCCUUGCGCGAUUGGAUGAACCCAGGUGGGAUUAGCUGGUUGGUGAGGUAAUGGCUCACAAAGGCGACGAUCCCAAGCUGGUCUGAGAGGCUGAUAAGCCACACUGGAACUGAGACACGGUCCAGACUCCUACGGGAGGCAACAGUGGGGAAUAUUUCACGAUGGGGGAAACCCUGAGGCAGCCAGGCCGCGUGUGUGAAGAAGGCCUUCGGGUUGUAAAGCACUUUCCGCGAGGAGGAAAGGUUGGUAGCUAAUAACUGCCAGCUGUGACGUUACUCGCAGAAGAAGCACCGGCUAACUCCGUGCCAGCCGCCGCAGUAAGAC
rnacentral:rRNA from 1 species